GGCAGUAUGGUGUAAUGCUGCACACGGGAUCUUUGUAGGAUGUCUUUGAGAAUACCACCCUGGGGUCCUUGUUCGAAUCAAGGUACUGCUC